rnacentral:rRNA from 1 species
CUUGCAUCAUUGAUAAAAAUGAUGCAGGAUCGACUAUGUCGAAUAAAAUUCUAGGUAGAAUUAUGAUAAUGACAUUGUCUGCCUAUGUGUCUUGACCAAAUUACGUGCCAGCUGUCGCGGUAAUACGUAGAAGACUAGCGUUAUUCAUGUUUAAUCGGUUUAAAGGGUACCUAGACGGUAAAUCAAGCCUAAAAUUAAAUGAAGGGACUAAUUUACUAGAGUUACUUAUGAGGGGGUAUUAAAGUACUGCUGGUGUAGAGAUGAAAUUCUGUCAUACCUCUUUUCAAUAGAAAAACAAUGGCACAGGUAUAGGCGAAAGCAUCCCCUUAUGUGAUAACUGACGUUGAGGGACGAAGGCUUUGUGUAGCGAACAGGAUUAGAUACCCCAGUAGUCAAAGCAGAAAAUGAUGAAUGUCAUAGAUUAGAUAAAGAAGUUUAUUCUAUAAAUGAAAGUGUAAGCAUUCCACCUCAAGAGUAAUUUGGCAACAUUGGAACUGAAAUCAUUAGACCGUUUCUGAAACCAGUAGUGAAGUAUGUUGUUUAAUUUGAUGAUCCGCAAAAAACCUUACCACAAUUUGAAUAUUUAUAUUUUUUAUUGUCUUUUUAAUUUUCUUCUGAUUUGAUUUUUCUAAAGAAAAUAAGAAAAUAAGGCGAUAUGAUAUAUUUACAAGCGUUGCACGGCUGUCUUCAGUUAAUGUCGCGAGACUUUGGUUAGUUCCAUUAAAUUAACGUAAACCCUUACUUUAUUUUUAUAUAGAGUAGUUCCCCGCUAUAUUGGAUAUGAUAACC